rnacentral:rRNA from 1 species
UACGAAGGGGGCUAGCGUUGUUCGGAUUUACUGGGCGUAAAGCGCACGUAGGCGGAUCUUUAAGUCAGAGGUGAAAUCCCAAGGCUCAACCUUGGAACUGCCUUUGAUACUGGGGAUCUUGAGUCCGGGAGAGGUGAGUGGAACUGCGAGUGUAGAGGUGAAAUUCGUAGAUAUUCGCAAGAACACCAGUGGCGAAGGCGGCUCACUGGCCCGGUACUGACGCUGAGGUGACGAAGGCCAGGGGAGGCAAACGGG